GCGAACGCUGGCGGCAGGCUUAACACAUGCAAGUCGAGCGGAUGUAGCAAUACAUCAGCGGCAGACGGGUGAGUAACACGUGGGAACGUACCUUUUGGUUCGGAACAACACAGGGAAACUUGUGCUAAUACCGGAUAAGCCCUUACGGGGAAAGAUUUAUCGCCGAAAGAUCGGCCCGCGUCUGAUUAGCUAGUUGGUGAGGUAAUGGCUCACCAAGGCGACGAUCAGUAGCUGGUCUGAGAGGAUGAUCAGCCACAUUGGGACUGAGACACGGCCCAAACUCCUACGGGAGGCAGCAGUGGGGAAUAUUGGACAAUGGGCGCAAGCCUGAUCCAGCCAUGCCGCGUGAGUGAUGAAGGCCCUAGGGUUGUAAAGCUCUUUUGUGCGGGAAGAUAAUGACGGUACCGCAAGAAUAAGCCCCGGCUAACUUCGUGCCAGCAGCCGCGGUAAUACGAAGGGGGCUAGCGUUGCUCGGAAGCACUGGGCGUAAAGGGUGCGUAGGCGGGUCUUUAAGUCAGGGGUGAAAUCCUGGAGCUCAACUCCAGAACUGCCUUUGAUACUGAAGAUCUUGAGUUCGGGAGAGGUGAGUGGAACUGCGAGUGUAGAGGUGAAAUUCGUAGAUAUUCGCAAGAACACCAGUGGCGAAGGCGGCUCACUGGCCCGAUACUGACGCUGAGGCACGAAAGCGUGGGGAGCAAACAGGAUUAGAUACCCUGGUAGUCCACGCCGUAAACGAUGAGUGCCAGCCGUUAGUGGGUUUACUCACUAGUGGCGCAGCUAACGCUUUAAGCAUUCCGCCUGGGGAGUACGGUCGCAAGAUUAAAACUCAAAGGAAUUGACGGGGGCCCGCACAAGCGGUGGAGCAUGUGGUUUAAUUCGACGCAACGCGCAGAACCUUACCAGCCCUUGACAUGUCCGGGACCGGUCGCAGAGACGUGACCUUCUCUUCGGAGCCCGGAACACAGGUGCUGCAUGGCUGUCGUCAGCUCGUGUCGUGAGAUGUUGGGUUAAGUCCCGCAACGAGCGCAACCCCCGUCCUUAGUUGCUACCAUUUAGUUGAGCACUCUAAGGAGACUGCCGGUGAUAAGCCGCGAGGAAGGUGGGGAUGACGUCAAGUCCUCAUGGCCCUUACGGGCUGGGCUACACACGUGCUACAAUGGCGGGUGACAAUGGGAUGCUAAGGGGCGACCCUUCGCAAAUCUCAAAAGCCGUCUCAGUUCGGAUUGGGCUCUGCAACUCGAGCCCAUGAAGUUGGAAUCGCUAGUAAUCGUGGAUCAGCACGCCACGGUGAAUACGUUCCCGGGCCUUGUACACACCGCCCGUCACACCAUGGGAGUUGGUUUUACCUGAAGACGGUGCGCUAACCGCAAGGAGGCAGCCGGCCACGGUAGGGUCAGCGACUGGGGUG
rnacentral:rRNA from 1 species